CCACAAUUUAACGGCCGCGGUACCCUAACCGUGCGAAGGUAGCAUAAUCACUUGUUUCCUAAAUAGAGACUAGUAUCAACGGCAUCACGAAGACUACACUGUCUCCCCCCUAAAAUCAAUGAAACUAAUCUCCUCGUGAAGAAGCGAGGAUGAACAUAUAAGACGAGAAGACCCCAUGGAGCUUUAAACAAACUUCAAUUGCUUUCCCCCCCCCCCCACCA
rnacentral:rRNA from 1 species